rnacentral:rRNA from 1 species
UGGGGAAUAUUGCACAAUGGGCGCAAGCCUGAUGCAGCCAUGCCGCGUGUGUGAAGAAGGCCUUCGGGUUGUAAAGCACUUUCAGCGAGGAGGAAGGGUAGUGUGUUAAUAGCACAUUGCAUUGACGUUACUCGCAGAAGAAGCACCGGCUAACUCCGUGCCAGCAGCCGCGGUAAUACGGAGGGUGCAAGCGUUAAUCGGAAUUACUGGGCGUAAAGCGCACGCAGGCGGUUUGUUAAGUCAGAUGUGAAAUCCCCGCGCUUAACGUGGGAACUGCAUUUGAAACUGGCAAGCUAGAGUCUUGUAGAGGGGGGUAGAAUUCCCAGGUGUAGCGGUGAAAUGCGUAGAGAUCUGGAGGAAUACCGGUGGCGAAGGCGGCCCCCUGGACAAAGACUGACGCUCAGGUGCGAAAGCGUGGGGAGCAAAACAGGGAUUAGAUACCCU